GACGAACGCUGGCGGCGUGCCUAAUACAUGCAAGUAGGACGCAGUUGCGAACGGGUGAGUAACGCGUAGGUAACUACCUAUCAGUGGGGGAUAACUAUUGGAAACGAUAGCUAAUACCGCAUACUAGUAGAUGGACCUGCGUUUUAUUAGCUAGGAGGUAGGGUAAUAGCCUCCCUAGGCAACGAUGCAUAGCCGCCCUGAGAGGGUGGUCGGCCCACCUGGGACUGAGACACGGCCCAGACUCCUACGGGAAGUAGCAGUAGGGAAUCUUCGGCAAUGGGGGGAACCCUUACCGAGCAACACCGCGUGAGUGAAGAAGGUUUUCGGAUCGUAAAGGUCUGUUGUUAGGGAAGCGAUACUUAACCAGAAAGGGACGGCUAACUACGUGCCAGCAGCCGCGGUAAUUC
rnacentral:rRNA from 1 species